UACGUAGGGUGCAAGCGUUGUCCGGAAUUAUUGGGCGUAAAGAGCUCGUAAGCGGUCUGUCGCGUCGGCUGUGAAAACCCGGGGCUCAACCCCGGGCCUGCAGUCGAUACGGGCAGACUAGAGUGCGGUAGGGGAGACUGGAAUUCCUGGUGUAGCGGUGAAAUGCGCAGAUAUCAGGAGGAACACCGGUGGCGAAGGCGGGUCUCUGGGCCGUAACUGACGCUGAGGAGCGAAAGCGUGGGGAGCGAACAGG
rnacentral:rRNA from 1 species